UUGUUAGCCUGCUGUCUAAGUAUAAGCACUUUAUACUGUGAAACUGCGAAUGGCUCAUUAAAUCAGUUAUCGUUUAUUUGAUAGUACCUUACUACAUGGAUACCUGUGGUAAUUCUAGAGCUAAUACAUGCUAAAAACCCCGACUUCAGGAAGGGGUGUAUUUAUUAGAUAAAAAACCAACGCCCUUCGGGGCUCCUUGGUGAAUCAUAAUAACUUAACGAAUCGCAUGGCCUUGCGCCGGCGAUGGUUCAUUCAAAUUUCUGCCCUAUCAACUUUCGAUGGUAGGAUAGUGGCCUACCAUGGUGGCAACGGGUAACGGGGAAUUAGGGUUCGAUUCCGGAGAGGGAGCCUGAGAAACGGCUACCACAUUCAAGGAAGGCAGCAGGCGCGCAAAUUACCCAAUCCCGAUACGGGGAGGUAGUGACAAUAAAUACUGAUACGGGGCUUUUUCGGGACUCCUAAUUGGAAUUGGCACCAUUUAAAUCCCUUAACGAGGAACAAUUGGAGGGCA
rnacentral:rRNA from 1 species